UGAGGAAUAUUGCAUAAUGGGCGAAAGCCUGAUGCAGCAACGCCGCGUGAGGGACGAAGGCCUCGGGUCGUAAACCUCUUUUCUGGGGGACGAGUAAGGACGGUACUCCAGGAAUAAGUCUCGGCUAACUACGUGCCAGCAGCCGCGGUAAAACGUAGGAGGCGAGCGUUAUCCGGAUUUACUGGGCGUAAAGCGUACGCAGGUGGCUUCGUUAGUCGGACAUAAAAGCUCCUGGCUUAACUGGGAGAGGUUGUUCGAUACUGCGGGGCUUGAGGUUGGGGGAGGGACGUGGAAUUCCCGGUGUAGUGGUGGAAUGCGUAGAUAUCGGGAGGAACACCAGUGGCGCAAGCGGCGUCCUGGCCCACACCUGACGCUGAGGUACGAAAGCGUGGGCAGCAAACAG
rnacentral:rRNA from 1 species